rnacentral:rRNA from 1 species
CGUAGGUGGCAAGCGUUGUCCGGAAUUAUUGGGCGUAAAGCGCGCGCAGGCGGUCCUUUAAGUCUGAUGUGAAAGCCCACGGCUCAACCGUGGAGGGUCAUUGGAAACUGGGGGACUUGAGUGCAGAAGAGGAGAGUGGAAUUCCACGUGUAGCGGUGAAAUGCGUAGAGAUGUGGAGGAACACCAGUGGCGAAGGCGACUCUCUGGUCUGUAACUGACGCUGAGGCGCGAAAGCGUGGGAGCAAACAGGAUU